CGCCCCCUCCCCGCCCUGGUGAGUCGGGGGUCGCCGCGGCGGGGUUCCAGGCCUGGCCUUAGACAGUUUUUUUUUUCUUCCCCCGAGGAAAAGGGAAACAGAAGGCGGUGUUUUGUUUCCGUUUCUGAGACUGAAAAGAAGGGAAACAACCCAAUUAAAUGGGCAGAAGAUUUGAGUGGACAUCAAGGAAGAUACAAAAACAGCCUUUCCAUCCCCUGGACUUUCAGGACCCUGAAGUUUAAUGUUUAUAUGCAGUCCUUAUGGAAAAUGUUUCUCAAAUUAUCACCAUUCUCUUGGUCAAAGCAGUGGCAGAGCCUGCCCAGAUUCAAGAAGACAUUGCUCCUGCUCUCAACGGGAGGGACGCCAAAGAACCUGUGGCAUCCUCAGUCAGCCACAGCAGAUACCGUGGUGGUAACUCGGGCAAGAAGCACCAACACCUGCGAAAGCCAGGUGUCUCCAGGGCCUGAGGCUCAGGAUAUUUACACAGUGUCAAAACAUCACCAUGCAGUGUAAUUAUUAUUAAUUAUAAAAGGGAAUAAGGUAACUUCACAGGAGACAAACCAGGCAAACAGCACCCUGGCCAAAUGAUCUAAGAUAAAACCAUUAAUGCAUAAACUAAUGCCAUUCUCCAACUGUCAGCUGUGGUGGGAAGACAUCACUGCACAGCUGCCCGAGACACUUCCACUCAAACUUCUCUCUGCUGGGUGUCAAGCUUGAAGCCAUCUGAUGGCUCCUCCAUCUUCCUGGUUACCUCACUAUUUUCUAUCCCAGGCAUUUCUCUGAACAAGACGUUUGCAUCCUUAAUCCUAUCUUGACGUCUUCUUCUUGGAGGACCCAGACCAACACAAAUGAGCCAGAAGCAGCUUGAGAAAACCAGUGAUCAGACGGACAUUUGGGACUGGCCCACCCACCAUCUGCAGGUGAAGAGGGUACUGUUCUGAUUAGGAGGUGGGGCACUGACAGUCCCUGGCACAAGGUAAGGCUCCACUGCUAAGCUUUCCCUUGUGACCUGGGAAAAUGUCUCAGCAGAAAGGAGUCUGUGCAAGGGACAAUGAUGCAGGCAUUUGAAAGGUGCAAGGAUGGCUGGAUCCCAGAGCAAGGCUGCACCGCCUGCAGCAGAGAAUAGAACACUUGUCUAUGGGACCUCAAAUGGCCCUGCAUCCACACACGCUUCCAGUAUGAGCUGAGCUCUGUCAGGCCUCCCCAGGUGUGACGUCAGGCAGCCCAGCAGCAUCCAUCAGAAUGUGGCAAUGGCAUGGCCAGGAUGGUAUCCACGCAGGGCCAGAGCGCCAGAGUGAGCGGAGGGAGCAGGCAGCCCAGCCCACGUGCCUCCCUCAGCUCAAGCCUACGGCUGUACAUGGCACACGUGACGUGCAGCUCAAGUCUAUAGCUGCAGCGGGUUCCUGCGUGGCUGACGGAGGGUGAUUUGUAGAUGGAUGGGCUCAGUGCAUGGCACACGUGAAAUGGGCAGCAGCAGCUGUAUUACUGCCACUCUCAAGGGUGGGAAGGAAAACCUUCCCAGUGGGCAGAACUGCAGGCAGCAUGCCCGGCCACCCAUGUCUGCAAACAGAAGUGGCCUGAGGUGAGAAUGCCCAGACUUCUGGACAGUGGCCUUGUGUCCCCACCUUCUGUGGGGGCCAGAAGGAAAAGGAGCCUGCAGACGAGGUCUGGGUUGAGGCAGUGGUGAACACACAGGAGGGCACAGAGUGAGAAGGUGUUCACACAUAUCUGCCCACCAAGGCAUCCAGCACACGAGGCACUGAGCAGCCAAGCAGACGAAAUCACUCACCAGUGGACACCAGUCCUCACCGCCAGCCACUCUGGAGCGUGAAAGGGGUGACCCUGGUGACAAAAAUGAAGAUUCCAUAUGGAAGACCUCCUUCACCCUGGGUCUCAUGUUGCCGGGCGCAGUGGUUCCUGCCUGUAAUUCCAGCACAUUGGGAGGCCAAGGCAGGAGGAGGAGCAUGAACUCCCUUACCAGGGCCUGCCUGGCAGCUGCCACCUCUGGAUGUCCAAAUUGUCCAUAACAGAGUGGACGCCAUCAUGCACUUUCUGUCCUGGAAAGGCUGGCCGUUUGUUCUCACACGGAUGGAUGCCUAUUUCAGGUACCAGCUGGCCUUUCCUACAGAGCCUCAGCCCACACCACUGCCUGGGGCUUAGGUUGCUUCAUUCAGAGGCAUGAAUCCUCACACAGCAGCAUCCUAGUGGGACCCACUGGUACCUGUAUUGUAGCAGCCAGCCUCACGCAACUCUGCACUGGCCUUCUAGAGGCUCAGCUGAAGCAGCAGCGUGGAGAAGAUGCUCUGAAAGGAUGGCACCAUCCUUUGGGAUGCCAUGCAUUAAUUUGGAUACUUUUUAUGGUACUGUGCUCCCAACAGAAAGAACACAUGAGUCUGGGAAACAGAUUUGAAGCAGGAGUGGCCCAACUCACCCAAACUCUCCCAUAACCUACUGGGAGAUUUUGUGUUUCCUCUCUACAUGGUUCUGGACUUUGUAGGGUUGGAGGUCCAGUGCCCCAGGAGCACACAACAAGGAUCCUACUGAAUAAGCUACAGCUGCUGCAAGGACGUUUGAGCUUCUCAAACCCAGGGACCUACCAGGUCUGCUGUGUUGAUAGUUGUAAUUUUAGAUGAGUAAUGAACAGAAAAGAAGAGAACAUUUCAUCCCUGAGACCAAUUCCAGUGAUGAAGACUGUAGCUAAUCCAACUAACCACUUCCUUCUGAGUUUCUUUUCAGGAAGAAAGACCCAUGGGAACCAGGGUUUUCUGAAUUGAUAAGAAUUAGAACUGGCUGGGUGUGGUGGCUUACACCUGAAAUCCCAGCACUUUGGGAGGCUGAGGCAGGAGGAUGGCUUGAGUCCAGGAGUUUGAGACCAGUCUGAGCAACAUGGCAAA